rnacentral:misc_RNA from 1 species
UAGAGAUAUUACCUCUUUAUAAUGGAGGCGAUCAUGGGACCAUUGUCAAAUUUCUUUUGCUUGCUAAAAUGGGAGGACAGAAUCCAGAGCAAGUGGUUUGAGUUAAUUUGGGGAAAAAAUGGUGGGGAACUUUGCCGUUAUAACACGUUGGCUGAUCUCAAUGAUUGAAUUGUUUGCCGGCCAUUUUAGACCUCAUGGUAGGGUCAUAUUCAAACUCUGUUCCUCUGAAUUGCUUGUUUAGUUAACCUAUUACUCAAACAUCUGCAAGCCAUCCCCAUUUUUGUUUGGUGAACACAUGUCCAUUGUAAAGCUUGUGGCUUUUGCUCAUGGAUGCUGGCUGGCAG